rnacentral:rRNA from 1 species
UACGUAGGGUGCGAGCGUUGUCCGGAAUUAUUGGGCGUAAAGAGCGUGUAGGCGGUCCGGUAAGUCCGCUGUGAAAGUCGGGGGCUCAACCCUGGAAAGCCGGUGGAUACUGUCGGGCUAGAGUCCGGAAGAGGCGAGUGGAAUUCCUGGUGUAGCGGUGGAAUGCGCAGAUAUCAGGAGGAACACCGAUGGCGAAGGCAGCUCGCUGGGACGGUACUGACGCUGGAGGCGCGAAAGCGUGGGGAGCGAACAGG